rnacentral:lncRNA from 1 species
CUGGAUUUAAUGUGGUUCAUUGUAGGUUGCAAUAUAGAUGAGCCACGUGUAAUGUUAUUUGAGAAACCAGAUGACCCAGGUAUAUGUCAAAUAUCAUAUUUUCCUGCUAAGUACACAUUGUACACUGUAGUAUGAAGCUGCUGACAAGACAGGAAGACAGGAGGUGAGAAGAAUGGUCUGCCUCACAGCAAAAGAAAGCUAAACACUUGUGCUGUCAGUGUAUGCAAGACGUGUGCAUGGAACAUACAAUUGUCAUGUGUGAAGACUGCCUUGAGUGUAGCAAUUGAGCAAAGAUUAUUUUUGUUGUAGAGUUUUAUUGGUAUUUUCAUUAUAAUUAAUAUAGGAA